GACGUAGGGUGCGAGCGUUGUCCGGAUUUAUUGGGCGUAAAGAGCUCGUAGGCGGCUCGUCGCGUCGACCGUGAAAACCCGCGGCUUAACUGCGGGCUUGCGGUUGAUACGGGCGGGCUAGAGUUCGGUAGGGGAGACUGGAAUUCCUGGUGUAGCGGUGAAAUGCGCAGAUAUCAGGAGGAACACCAAUGGCGAAGGCAGCUCGCUGGAACGGAACUGACGCUGAGGCGCGAAAGCGUGGGGAGCGAACAGG
rnacentral:rRNA from 1 species